rnacentral:piRNA from 1 species
UGCUUAUGUUCUUAUGGUUGCCUCCUGCC